GUGCCAGCAGCCGCGGUAAUACAGAGGUCUCAAGCGUUGUUCGGAUUCAUUGGGCGUAAAGGGUGCGUAGGUGGCGUGGUAAGUCUGGUGUGAAAUCCCGGGGCUCAACCCCGGAACUGCACUGGAUACUGCCAUGCUUGAGUACUGGAGAGGAGAUUGGAAUUUACGGUGUAGCAGUGAAAUGCGUAGAUAUCGUAAGGAAGACCAGUGGCGAAGGCGAAUCUCUGGACAGUUACUGACACUGAGGCACGAAGGCCAGGGGAGCAAACGGGAUUAGAAACCCCUGUAGUCC
rnacentral:rRNA from 1 species